rnacentral:rRNA from 1 species
AAUGAGGAGUUGGUUGUAGCUGUUGCCUUGGGAUUUUUUUUAAUUAAUUAUUCCGGACAAAUGUGCACGCCUUCUCUUUCAUCCACACACACCUGUGCACUUGUAAGGCAAAGGCUGGAGUUCUUUUAUUAAUUUUAUUGGACCCCCUACCUCUGUCCUUCUUUAAUUUUCCACACCCUCUUAUUUAAUUUAAACUGAAUGUAAUUGAUGUAACGCAUCUAAUACUAAGUUUCAACAACGGAUCUCUUGGCUCUCGCAUCGAUGAAGAACGCAGCGAAAUGCGAUAAGUAAUGUGAAUUGCAGAAUUCAGUGAAUCAUCGGAAUCUUUGACGACCUUGCGCUCCUUGGUAUUCCUUGGAGCAUGCCUGUUUGAGUAUCAUGAAAUCUUCAAAGUAGACCUUUUGUUAAUUCAAUUGGUUCCUUACUUUGGUAUUGGAGGUCUUUGCAGCUUCACACCUGCUCCUCUUUGUUCAUUAGCUGGAUCUCAGUGUUAUGCUUGGUUCCACUCAGCGUGAUAAGUAUCUAUCGCUGAGGACACUGUAAAAAGGUGGCCAAGGUAAAUGCAGAUGAACCGCUUCCAACAGUCCAUUGACUUGGACAAAUUAAAUUUUUAUGAUCUGAUCUCAAAUCAGGUAGGACUACCCGCUGAACUUAA